CGGCGAGUGAAGCGGCAACAGCUCAAAUUUGAAAUCUGGCUCUUUCAGAGUCCGAGUUGUAAUUUGUAGAGGAUGUUUCGGGUGAGACUACGGUUUAAAUUCCUUGGAACAGGAUAUCAUAGAGGGUGAGAGUCCCGUCUUGAACCGUCUGUCGAGUCCAUGUGAAACUCCUUCGACGAGUCGGGUUGUUUGGGAAUGCAGCUCAAAAUGGGUGGUAAAUUUCAUCUAAAGCUAAAUAUUGGCCAGAGACCGAUAGCGCACAAGUAGAGUGAUCGAAAGAUGAAAAGCACUUUGAAAAGAGAGUUAAACAGCAUGUGAAAUUGUUGAAAGGGAAGCGCUUGCAACCAGACUUGUGGGCAGUGAUUCAGCCGUUCUUCUGAUCGGUGUACUUUGCUGUUUCCAGGCCAGCAUCGGUUUGGGUGGUCAGUUAAAGGCUCCGGGAAUGUAUCUACCCUUCGGGGUAGACUUAUAGCCCGGGGUGACAUCUGGCCUACCUAGACCGAGGUACGCGCUUCGGCACGGAUGCUGGCAUAAUGGUUGUAAGCGGCCCGUCUUGAAACACGGACCAAGGAGUCUAACAUCUAUGCGAGUGUUAGGGUGUCAAACCCUUACGCGUAAUGAAAGUGAACGGAGGUAGGAACCUUUUAGGUGCACUAUCGACCGAUCCGGAUGUCUUCGGAUGGAUUUGAGUAAGAGCAUAGCUGUUGGGACCCGAAAGAUGGUGAACUAUGCCUGAAUAGGGUGAAGCCAGAGGAAACUCUGGUGGAGGCUCGCAGCGGUUCUGACGUGCAAAUCGAUCGUCAAAUUUGGGUAUAGGGGCGAAAGACUAAUCGAACCAUCCCUACAGGUCAUAACUUCUCUGCAUUUACCAGGUGGUUCGCACCAGGAGAUUCAUCCUGGCCCAGAUCUAGUUUUAUCAAAUUGUAUAACUAGAACGACGUUUCUCAACUGGCGGGAAUUCUUCAGGGAUAUCCGCAGCGAGUAUUAUUUGAAUAAUACCGUUCACAGACUAAAUGGAAACGGUCAAAUAUAGGCGCUAUAUUUGAUGAUUAGAUAGUCGGAACUUGAUAAUAUCGGACAAUCCGAUCAAGGUCAAGAAUUUUGCUGGUAGCUGGUUCCUGCCGAAGUUUCCCUCAGGAUAGCAGUAACGUUUUCAGUUUUAUGAGGUAAAGCGAAUGAUUAGAGGCCUUGGGGUUGAAACAACCUUAACCUAUUCUCAAACUUUAAAUAUGUAAGAAGUCCUUGUUACUUAGUUGAACGUGGACAUUUGAAUGUAUCGUUACUAGUGGGCCAUUUUUGGUAAGCAGAACUGGCGAUGCGGGAUGAACCGAACGUGAGGUUAAGGUGCCGGAAUACACGCUCAUCAGAUACCACAAAUGGGCGGUAUUCCAGAGACAAUUUAUCUAAAUUCUUGUGGUAUCGACCCCAGAGCUCUGGGAAUAGCCUUAUUCUAAAGGCUAGGUCGUUGAUCGAAGGGGAACACUUUCAACGGUGUGUCCUUAACCGUGAUAUUCUCCACGGUUCACAGAUCAAGCAGCGACCGGUAGUGGCCGUUGCUCACUAUUCAUAAUAUGAUCGGCCUUAAAAUGCGAAAAUUUUAAUGAUUCGUGCAAAAGGUGUUAGUUCAUCUAGACAGCCGGACGGUGGCCAUGGAAGUCGGAAUCCGCUUAGGAGUGUGUAACAACACACCGGCCGAAUGAACUAGCCCUGAAAAUGGAUGGCGCUCAAGCGUGUUACCCAUACCUCGCCGUUAUAGUUUUAAGGAUGCUAUAACGAGUAGGCAGGCGNNGAGGUUUGUGACG
rnacentral:rRNA from 1 species